rnacentral:rRNA from 1 species
GGAGGAUGCAAGCGUUAUCCGGAUUCAUUGGGUUUAAAGGGUGCGUAGGCGGAAUAAUAAGUCAGUGGUGAAAGCCUGCGGCUUAACCGUAGAAUUGCCAUUGAUACUGUUAUUCUUGAGUAUAGUUGAGGUGGGCGGAAUGUGUAAUGUAGCGGUGAAAUGCUUAGAUAUUACACAGAACACCAAUUGCGAAGGCAGCUCACUAAGCUGUUACUGACGCUGAGGCACGAAAGCGUGGGGAGCAAACAGGAUUAGAUACCCUGGUAGUCCACGCCGUAAACGAUGAUCACUCGUUGUUGGCGAUACACCGUCAGCGACUGAGCGAAAGCAAUAAGUGAUCCACCUGGGGAGUACGGUCGCAAGACUG